UGGCGGAGGCUGUGGGACAGU
rnacentral:misc_RNA from 1 species